UGAGACACGGUCCAGACUCCUACGGGAGGCAGCAGUGGGGAAUAUUGCACAAUGGGGGAAACCCUGAUGCAGCCAUGCCGCGUGUGUGAAGAAGGCCUUCGGGUUGUAAAGCACUUUCAGCGAGGAGGAAAGGUCAGUAGCUAAUACCUGCUGGCUGUGACGUUACUCGCAGAAGAAGCACCGGCUAACUCCGUGCCAGCAGCCGCGGUAAUACGGAGGGUGCAAGCGUUAAUCGGAAUUACUGGGCGUAAAGCGCACGCAGGCGGUUGGAUAAGUUAGAUGUGAAAGCCCCG
rnacentral:rRNA from 1 species